GUGCUCACUUUGGUAGCACACACACUAAAAUUGGAAUGAUACAGAGAAGAUUAGCAUGGCCCCUGCACAAGGAUAACACGUACAUUCAUGAAGCAUUCCAUAUUUUG
rnacentral:snRNA from 1 species